UACGGAGGGUGCGAGCGUUAAUCGGAAUUACUGGGCGUAAAGCGCACGUAGGUGGUUCGUUAAGUCGGAUGUGAAAUCCCUGGGCUCAACCUGGGAGCUGCAUUCGAUACUGGCGGACUCGAGUACGAGAGAGGGGGGUGGAAUUCCAGGUGUAGCGGUGAAAUGCGUAGGUAUAGGAAGGAACACCAGUGGCGAAGGCGACUACCUGGACUGAUACUGACACUGAGGUGCGAAAGCGUGGGGAGCAAACAGGAUUAGAAACCCCUGUAGU
rnacentral:rRNA from 1 species